rnacentral:rRNA from 1 species
UACGGAGGGAGCUAGCGUUGUUCGGAAUUACUGGGCGUAAAGCGCACGUAGGCGGCUAUUCAAGUCAGAGGUGAAAGCCCAGGGCUCAACCUUGGAACUGCCUUUGAAACUAGAUAGCUAGAAUCCUGGAGAGGCGAGUGGAAUUCCGAGUGUAGAGGUGAAAUUCGUAGAUAUUCGGAAGAACACCAGUGGCGAAGGCGACUCGCUGGACAGGUAUUGACGCUGAGGCACGAAAGCGUGGGGAGCAAACAGG